rnacentral:misc_RNA from 1 species
AAAGUCGUAACAAGGUCUCCGUAGGUGAACCUGCGGAGGGAUCAUUAAAGAAUAUUUACUUGUAAAGCAAGUUGGCUCUCUCUUUGGAGGGGGGGUGCUUCUUGUUUUAUAUCAAACAAGCGAUCGCAACCAACCAUAAGGAUAUAGGAAAGAGUUUGCCUGAUAAUCAUUGGUUUGGAAACAACGAAUACAACUUUCAACAACGGAUCUCUUGGCUCUC